rnacentral:lncRNA from 1 species
CAUGAAUUCCUCUGAAUAAGUAUUCAGAAACCUGGUCAAUUAACAACUAGUGUAGACUUUUCUUAACAAAAACCCUCUGAGGUUUUUCCUGAGUUCAAUUAACUUAAAACCUUGAGCAACAUUUGAUCUCCAGGUUGUGAUGCGUGUCACUCAAAAGGCUGGUCAUCUGUUUGCCUAUCUCCCCUAGGCAAACCUAGAAAAUGCAUCUCCUGACCUUCGAAGAGAGCUCUGGUUAUUCAGGAAAGUGGAUUGCCUUGUCCCCUGGAGCAUAAAACUGGAAUACGGUACUCUUGGGGAAUGGAGGCUACUAAAUAGGAACUCUUCGAGAACAGGAAUUUUUAGCAUUCUGAUGGUUGGAUAGAGCCCAUGACCUUCCCCUGAGGGAUCUGCAAUUCAACAUGGCAAAUUUACUUCCAGAGGGCUCACCUAUAUUUGCAAGCUAGGGGUAUAUCCCCAUUCACCAACACCAGCAUUCAAGUACUAGGCAUCAGACCAAACUUUUCCCUAGGGCGGAUCCUGUUACAGGGCACCGUGAAUACAGGUGUGAAGGACUCAGGAGCUGGGAUGAAUUCCCACCCCGAGGAUCUGAGUGUCUCAUCGCCCGGUUUGUGUUGGUGACCUGUCUCUCUCUUCUUCUCUGAAUGGGGACCCCCAAGACCAGUGUUAGAUAGCUUCCUCAAAGUGGCCGGGCACGUGUGCAGGAUAAUAAUAUGCCACUAGGGAGAAAGGACAGGGAUGAAGAGUUCUCCCC